rnacentral:lncRNA from 1 species
AGAAGCAGCUAGAAGGGCUCAGUGGCAGCAGCACCAGCGGCCGUAGCCCCACUCCCUUGUCCCAGAGGUGUGAGUCAGGGUGUUUGCUGCUUAUGAUGUCUAACUCUUGGCUGUCUUUCCAGCUGUCCCCUGGGUCACUCUAUAUCCAUGUGUGGGCACACGUGUCUAAGCUUGUGUGCACUGCUGGGUUUUCCUAGGGUGUGUGGCCACUUGUGUGUAUGUGCAUUUGUCAUCUCCACAUAGGCAGUGCCAGGACACAAGAGCUGAUAUGAGUGAAGUCUGGCUGCCUCUACCUGUGUCCUUUGUCUCUGAAUGCCUGGUGCCCACUGAGCUGCUGAUAGGGCUGACUAACAAGAGUAAUCAGGACAGCUCCCACCGUUGUGCCACACUCUGCAUGGAGCACUUGAGACAGUAUUAGGUAGGAGGCUGUUUACAGCUGAGGAAGCCAGUGCUCAGAGAAGGAAAUUAAUGUGCCCAAACACACACAGCUAAUAAUGGCAGGGCUAGGAUUCAAAUCAAGUCUGAUGGAUUCCAAAAAACUUGGCUUUGAAUCCCUGCUGCAUCACUUACAAGCUGGGUGACUAUGUGCAAAUUGCCCAAUCUUCCCCUUCUGUCCAAACAGGGAUAACGCUUGGGGGAUCACUGUGAGGACUCGGAGUUAUAGAAACAGCUUUUUGCAAGACCCAGCGAGCACUCAUACUCAUCUCAGUUGAAGGGCUUCAAUGAGGAGACUCUCAGCUGAUUGAAAAUCCAGGAUUUUAACAAAGGAGAGGAGGAGGAACAGAAAGCUAGGAGGAGAAGAAGUAAUGAAUAGAAACCAAAGGUGCCAGCCAGAGGAAAUGAGAAACUGUCAUCAGGACACUACCAUGAGGAGAACGCUGGGACACACACACACACACACACACACACUCACACUCACGCUGACAUACUCUUGCUGGCUCUCCAACUCUAGGCUUACGGCAGACGGUGCUGCCAUAACAAAGUGACGCCUGUCACAACAGCAUGAGAUGGUGGCUUGACAAGGUAUAGGCAGAUCUGCCUAUCACAGAAGGAGGGAAAGAGACCUUCAACCCCCAGGGGCUUCCUCAGGCUUCUGAACCCUCGUCUCCAUUACUGGUUGGCUCUGGCUUCUCUUUGUCACCAAAUCGCAAGGCCUAAAUCUGGCAAAUUUUGAGUGUCAGACCUACACCCUGUGGCUAGGUACCACCACUGUGGUGAACAAAGGCACCUCUUAUACUCUGUCAUCAGUAUGAUGCCAAGAGUGCUGGGAAACAGAAUAGCACAGCAGUUAAGAUCAUUGAGUUGGAGUCACACAGACCUGAGUUCAAAUCCCCAUUCUGUUGUUCACCUUGAGCAGGCCACAUAACUUCCUUGAGCCGGUUUGCUCAAAUGUAAAAUGGUGCUAUUAAUAUAUGGGGUUUUUAUAAUGAUAUAAUAAGAUUACUUUCAGGGCUGGGCGCAGUGGCUCACUCCUGUAAUCCCAGCACUUUGGGAGGCCGAGGUGGGUGGAUUGUCUGAGGUCAGGAGUUCGAGACCAGCCUGGCUAACAUGGCAAAACCCCGUCUCUACUGAAAAUACAAAAAUUAGCUGGACGUGGUGGCUGGUGCCUGUAAUCCCAGCUACUUGAGAGGCUGAGCAGGGGGAAUCACUUGAACCUGGGAGGCAGAGGUCGCAGUGAGCCAAGAUCGCACCAUUGCACUCCAGCUCAGGCAACAAGAGUGAAACCCCAUGUCAAAAAAAAAAAAAAAAGGAUUAUUUUCAUUCCACAAGAUUGAUGGAGUGCCCACUAUGUGCAGAGCACUGAGCUAGAUGCUGGAGAUUCGGCAUAACCAGACAACAGCUCUGCCCUUGUGGAGCAUCAGAGCACCCAGCACAGGGCAAGUAGUAAAAUUCAACAAAGAGUAGCUAUUUUUCAUUUAUUUUAUUUUAGAGACGGGGUCUUGCUGUUGCCUAGGCUGGAGUGCAGUGGCACAAUCACAGCUCACUGCACCCUCAAACUCCCAGGCUCAAGAGAUCCUCCCACCUCAGCCUCCUGAGUAGCUGGGA